rnacentral:rRNA from 1 species
GACAAACGCUGGCGGCAUGCCUAACACAUGCAAGUCGAACGGACAGAACAGGGAAGCUUUUCGGAGUGGAACUGGAAAGUUAGUGGCGGAUGGGUGAGUAACGCGUGGACAACCUACCUUGUAAAGGGGAAUAACCUCGAGAAAUCGAAGCUAAUACCCCAUAAUAACCUUGCUUCGCAUGAAGUAAGGAGGAAAGGCGGCCUUAGCGCUGUCGAUACAAGAUGGGUCCGCGUCUGAUUAGCUAGUUGGUGAGGUAAAGGCUCACCAAGGCGACGAGCAGUAGCCGGCCUGAGAGGGUGAACGGCCACAUUGGGACUGGGUCACGGCCCAAACUCCUACGGGAGGCAGCAGUGGGGAAUCUUCCGCAAUGGGCGAAAGCCUGACGGAGCAAUGCCGCGUGAGUGAAGAAGGCCUUCGGGUUGUAAAACUCUGUCCUUAUCGAAGAGAGAGUGCUGUAGUAAUUGACAAUACUAGGACGGUAGAUGAGGAGGAAGCCCCGGCUAACUAUGUG